UACGAAGGGGGCUAGCGUUGUUCGGAAUUACUGGGCGUAAAGCGUGCGCAGGCGGCUUCCCAAGUCAGUGGUGAAAGCCCGGAGCUCAACUCCGGAAAUGCCAUUGAAACUGUGAAGCUCGAGAACGAGAGAGGUGAGUGGAAUUCCCAGUGUAGAGGUGAAAAUUCGUAGAUAUUGGGAAGAACACCAGUGGCGAAGGCGGCUCACUGGCUCGUAACUGACGCUCAUGCACGACAGCGUGGGGAUCAAACAGG
rnacentral:rRNA from 1 species